GACGAACGCUGGCGGCGUGCUUAACACAUGCAAGUCGAACGGAAAGGCCCUGUCUUUUUGCGCUGCUCGAGUGGAGAACGGGUGAGUAACACGUGAGUAACCUGCCCCUCACUUUGGGAUAACCUCAUGAAACUGGGGCUAAUCCCGGAUAGGAGCUCCUGCUGCUUGGUGGGGGUUGGAAAGUUUCGGCGGUUGGGGAUGGACUCGCGGCGUAUCAGGUUGUUGGUUGGGUAGUGUGUGAGCAUGGCUUUGACGGGUAGCCGGGCUGAGAGGGUGACCGGACACACUGGGACUGAGAUGCGGCCCAGACUCCUACGGGAGGCAGCAGUGGGGAAUAGUGCACAAUGGGCGGAGGCCUGAUGUAGCAACGCCGCGUGCGGGAUGACGGCAAUCGGGUUGUAAUGCGCUUUCGCCUGUGACGAGGCGUGAGUGACAGUAAUGGGUAAAGAAGCACCGGCUAACUACGUG
rnacentral:rRNA from 1 species